AACCCCCAACAUAUAGCGCGUACUCCAGAGUAAUCGCGGCUUGCUUGACUAGAAUAUUCCGUGCGCAGUAGUAUAGAUAUAUGGAGAGUCCGUCGAACCCAAACGAUCGACUAAAUAAAGAUACGAAGUCUCUAACAACCCGAUCUCUCCGCCCCAUGAGUGUAAAUUGAAGUAGUACUACUCCUUGUGUGGUCAUAACUAGUAUGAGUAGAUUACAUAGAAUUUUAUUCACAAGUGACCACCUACCCAUUAUCCCAUAUAUAAAAUUGAAGAAAUUAUUAUUUCUCUGAAAACUUGAUAGCAUAUUGUGAUUCUUCUUGUUUAUGCUUUGCCAUCUAUUUCGAGAAUGGCUGUGGGGAGGUAAAUCAUUUAACAUCUUCAAUUUGGGAUGGAGAAAGGAGGUCGUUGUGGACUAUGUACUUCGUAAACAUGUGGAGAAAAAUCAUCAGUCUCCACCUCGAAUAACGUCCUUCAUCGAAGGGCCAAGUCCUCAACGCGGAGCAAACCACAACCCAGCCCAGCACAUGCCCAGCCCGCACAUGCUUUAUUCGGGUUCC
rnacentral:sRNA from 2 species